UAUUGAUCUAGCUGUUAUUGAUCUAGUGGUUAUUGAUCUAGUGAUUAUUGAUCUAGUGGUUACUGAUCUAGCUGUUAUUGAUCUAGUGGUUACUGAUCUAGUGAUUAUUGAUCUAGUGGUUACUGAUCUAGUGGUUAUUGAUCUAGUGGUUACUGAUCUAGUGGUUAUUGAUCUAGUGGUUACUGAUCUAGUGGUUAUUGAUCUAGUCGUUACUGAUCUAGUGGUUAUUGAUCUAGUGGUUAUUGAUCUAGUGGUUAUUUUUCUAGUGGGUACUGAUCUACUUAGUGGUUAUUGAUCUAGUGGUUAUUGAUCUAGUGGCUACUGAUCUAGUUGUUACUGAUCUAGUGGUUAUUGAUCUAGUGGUUAUUGAUCUAGUGGUUAUUGAUCUAGUGGUUAUUGAUCUAGUGGCUACUGAUCUAGUUGUUACUGAUCUAGUGGUUAUUGAUCUAGUGGUUAUUGAUCUAGUUGUUGUUGAUCUAGUGGUUACUUAUCUAGUGGUUAUUGAUCUAGUGGUUAUUGAUCUAGUGGUUAUUGAUCAAGUGGUUAUUGAUCUAGUGGUUAUUGAUAUAGUGGUUAUUGAUCUAGUGGUUACUGAUCUAGUUACUGGUUGUUGAUCUCAUUCAUAUUGAAUUCGUGGUUACUUAUCUAGUUAGUGGUUAUUGAUAUAGUGUUUAUUGAUCUAGUGGUUACUGAUCUAGAUAGUGGUUAUUGAUCUAGUGGUUAUUGAUCUAGUGGUUAUUGAUCUAGUGGUUAUGGAUCUAGUGGUUGUUGAUCUAGUGGUUAUUGAUCUAGUGGGUGUUGAUCUAGUGGGUAUUGAUCUAGUGGUUAUUGAUCUAGUGAUUUUUGAUCUAGUGGUUAUUGAUGUAGUGAUAAUUGAUCUAGUGGUUAUUGAUCUAGUGGUUCUGAUCUAGUGGUUAUUGAUCUCGUGGUUACUGAUCUACUUUGUGAUUAUUGAUGUAGUGGUUACUGAUCUAGUGGUUAUUGAUCUAGUUGUUAUUGAUCUAGUGGUUCUGAUCUAGUGGUUAUUGAUCUAGUGGUUAGUGAUCUAGUGGUUAUGGAUGUAGUUGUUAUUGAUCUAGAGGUUAUUGAUCUAGUGGUUAUUUAUCUAGUCGUUACUGAUCUAGUGGUUAUUGAUCUAGUGGUUACUGAUCUAGUGGUUAAUUUUCUAGUGGUUACUGAUCUAGUGGUUAUUGAUCUAGUGGUUACUGAUCUAGUGGUUAUUGAUCUACUCGUUACUGAUCUAGUGGUUAUUGAUCUAGUGGUUAUUUUUCUAGUGGUUACUGAUCUACUUAGUGGUUAUUGAUGUAGUGGUUACUGAUCUAGUGGUUAUUGAUCUAGUAGUUAUUGAUCUAGUUGUUAAUGAUCUAGUGGUUAUUGAUCUAG
rnacentral:lncRNA from 1 species